GGAUGUAUCUCAGUGGCAAGACAUCUGCCUCAUUUGCAGAAGACUCCAGGUUCAAUCCCUGGCAUGUCCA